rnacentral:lncRNA from 1 species
AGCAUCGUUGUUUGAAGUCUGAAAACUGCGCUGCAGGGUCCGCGAGCUCUCAGGGCACCUCUGGCACGGAGCACCCAGGCCAGGGAUGUUCGGAGCUAGGGGUCGUUCCUGAAGGGACUUUCAGGCUUGUCGCUGGGACUAAGACCAGGAUGCUGGAGCUCCAGGUACCUGUUUUUGCCCCUCCCUUUGCCUCUGAAAUCUCCUCCCUGUUGGGGGGUGGUUUCUGUCCCUAGAAGAUGGAGAGGCACCAGCAGUUUCUAUUUGGGGACUAGAGGUUUAUAAGGGUGAGGAUGUGCAUGUUGAUGAGGUUGUUGCUGCUGCUGCUGCUCCUGCUCCUGCACAAAACUUACCGGAAAAACCGGGGAGGGUUUUCUCUUACUCUUGUUUUAAUGAUGAAGAUUCACUUUCCCUUUCCUCUCCCCCCCCCCCCAUCUCCAGAACUAGGUUUCCUCCCUUUCUGAAAUGUGUUAUUUGAGGUCAUUACAUUUUGUGACUCCAGGUGUUAUAUUUUUGCCCAUCUCUUUCCUCUAGUAUGACAGAACUUGUUUGUCAAGGUGUGGCUCUGUAUAAGUGAAAGCCUGGAAGACAGAGUAGAUUUGUCUUCUUCCUGUCAAGGUGGGCACUAGAUAGGUCGUUUAUAGGUGUAGGACUGUAUUUCAAAGACCUUGCUUGUAGUAGGAAUUUUCUUAAUGGGUUCUGGACCAUCCAUGGUAGUAUUCUGACAGUGCUAAAGCAGCAUAUAAGGUGCAGAGAAUCACCAACAGAGCAGCUGGCUAGUGCAAGAAGUUGGGUAAAAGGAGGCCUGGGUAAGUGGGCAUUGUCACACUUAGUAGACAAAGAAAUGCAUUAUCUUGUGUUCUUUUGCGAUAUAUCCCAGUAAAACAUUGAUAUGAAAUCAGAGUAAAUGAUCAAUGGCUUCGUAAUAGGUACUUGGGCAUUUUAAAAAUAGAACCUCUUGGAUUUGUAGUAAAGUCUUUUUUUUUUUUCCUUCGGUGUAUUUCUUUAAAAUGUGAUGUAGCACAUUGUCCUUGAAAGGUUAUAAAGUGUGCCUGGGAAAGAGAGUCUAGAUCUUCACUGUCACUAGGAAACAUAGGUGCUGAUUGAAAUACUGCUCUUAUUUUGGAAGAAUAGGCUCUUUGAUGAGGCAAAUCAAUAUUUGUGAUAAAUUAAUGACCAGUUAGGAUGUACAUAGUUAUAAUUGUGUUUUGCUUUUGAUCCUUUGAUAAAGUAUAAGAAAAAACAGGUAGACCAAGUUAGUCCUGUUCCUGCAGCAAGUUUAGACCGUGUUCCUGCACAUGGUCAAAGUUACAGGCAGAAAAUACUUUUACAUGUUGGGUUUCAGCUUCACUUUGGGGAUGCACAUUGACUGAACGACUUGAUUACUCAUAGCAUAGACUUGUCAGUUAAAUUUGAUUAUAAAAAUCAUGCUCUUAUAUUUGAGUUGUGUGAAGUGGAAAAUCAUUAAGCUGAAGGAAAAGCCAGAUAUUUGUUCUAAAUUGUGCAAAUUGAAAGUAAUUCAUUUCCUUUCUGAGACCUGGGAGUUUCUUCUAGUACAAGUAAUAUAAAUCCCCGCAUGGAUAACCAAGGUAACAGUUACUACUUCGAGGCAAAACCCAAGAGGGCAAUUCUCCUAAAGACAGAGAAAAAAGUGCAAACUGAUCUCAUCUCUCUUAGCAACCGAAUGGUUGUCAGUUGUCAGGUAAUUACCUGACGUCGAGAAUACAAAGUUAACAAAAUUAUGAAAUCAUAAUUAGUGAGCAAAAUGCUUACUGGAUGUCUAUUACAUUUUCUCAUUUCACAGUGCACAGUCCCCAGCCAGUACUAAUACUAGAUAUACAAAUAUCAUAAUUUCUGUAAUCUGUGUGGAAUAAAUCCUUGUCUUCCAUAGCCAUAGGGAUUUGAAGAGAUAGAAGUGCGCUCUUUCAGAUAAUCUCAAAUUAAAUGUUAAUGUUCGUUUGAAAGCUGAAUCUGUCUCUUCUGUAUUCUUUACCUUAAUUUUUUACCAUGUCCUAGCUAGCUUUCUAGAGCCCUAGGGAAUUGGCUUCAUAGCCAUAUUGUUACUACCUUUUAAUACUGAGUUAGAAAUCUUUGAUUAUAAGGACUCUUAAGGAUACGCUCAUAAAUACACACGCUUUCAUGGUUCAGGCUCAGAAAUGAGAUUCUUAGACAAGUAAUUUUAGUUUAAAUUCAUAUGACGAUGCUGUGAUUGCAUUUUUGUGUGCAUGUGCAAGAUGCACUGAGCUUAUGUUUUCCAAAACUUGAAAUUCUCUAUGUACCUAAAAACACGUUAAGAUGUGGGAGAACAUUUUAAGGAAGCUUCAGAGCCCCAGGCAUCAUUGUCCUUUCAAUCAAGACUUGUUAGUGCGUUUAUUUUGAACAUUUUCACUACCUUGAAGACCAAUAGGAGCAUUUCAAAAUGCUUAUGAACUUUUACUGUUGUAACUAUAUUGUUUGUAUAUCUGCAACUGCUGUGGGGUUUUUUGUAUAAGGCACAGUUGUAAACCUCUACCUUACUUCUUGGACGUGUCUUGCUACAGAUGGUGUACCACGAGGCCAAUGGAAUAUCUAAGGGUUGCAACUUUAGACUUUUUCCAAUUGUCUUUGUAAUUUUACUGAACACUGAGAAAUGUCAUCCCAACAUAGUGUGACGAGUUGGAUUUUAAUAUAAUAUGUGUUCUUAAAUCAUGUUUUCCAAACUGAGUUUCUUAAAUUGCAAUACUUUAAGUUCUAUCUUCCCAAUUGGCAGCCAUUCCAACUAGGUGUCCUAAUUGUGUGGUAGAGGCCUCAAAAUAGCCCUAUGCAGAACUCAGUGAAAUAGACUUGGCAGUAUUCAUUUGGUUAAGCUGAUUAAAGGAAAUAUUGAGAAGUUUUCUAGAUCAUGAGGCUUUGAUCAGAAAUUCCUUUGGGAAUUAUCUAAAUUAAUGAUUUCAAGGGGAUGGAGGCAACAUUUGCCUUCAAGGAGAACUUCUCUCUCCUUUCCUCCUUCCCUCCCUCCCAUCCUCCCUCCCUUCUUCCUCCAUCCCUUCUUCUUCCUUCCUUCCAUCUGUCUAUCAUCUGUCUUUCUAUUUUUAACCUACCCUUCUGGUUGUUACAAGGAAGCAAUGCAACAGGCCUAAUGUUGAACUCUUUUCUCUAUUUUCCACAUUUCUAAGGAGGGAGAUGUUUGUGGGAUAUACAGACAGCCUUAAUAUUCACUGUGAGUGUUAAGGUCUUAAAUUCUUUAAUAUUGAAUUCAAUUGAUUCCUUAUAUUGAAUUAUUGGCGUAAUAGUGACAAUGGAAAUCAUCUUCCAAGAUUACCACAAAAUAUAAUUCUUUUAAAUUUCCAAACAUGAGUUAUUUUAAUAUAUCAUUUAUUUAUACAUUGUGAAUACUUUAAAAGGACAUCCUGAGAUCUUUAUAUGUUUCAAAAGGGAGUGUGAUUUUUAAAAUGUUAAGCAAUAAUGAUUUAAAGUGAAUCUUCUGAGGAUUUUUUGCUAUAACAGACUUAAUUGACAGAAAUAUGAGUCUUUCACCUUUCACCUUUGUUCUUAAAAUAGGUGAUUCCAGUGCAUUAAAUAGACCAAACAGGGAACUACCGUUGUAGAACAUAGUGAAGCAAAUAAAAUAUACUCCCUUAACUGUAGCAAAGUUCUCUAUAGCAUCCCUUUCUUUAAUUCAGUCUUUCAGAUGUUUCUCAUUUCAUUUCCUUGGGGCUUUACUUUUCUAGCCAAAAGAUCAGAGAUGAGCUCCAGCAAUUAGCACAACCAAACCACAAAAAUUAUUCACCGCUGGGAAAAUAAAGUAGAACUAAAAAGCAGUGGCAUCUGAAAUUGAAAUUACAGCCUGUGGAUGAGAGAGGAUUAUAGCUAUGUCCUUAGAAAGCCUGAAAGUAUCAUGUGAUUAUUUAACAUUGUAUGAAGCCCUUUUGAACAUCAUCACAUGCCAGACUGGCUAGAUAACCACGUAUUUCACUUGGAGCAUUGGCAUAUGUUACACUCAUAAUAAAAUAUGUUGCAUACUUGAUGCACAGCAUGAAAAAAAAUCACCCCUUAAAAAAAUUUCAUGUCUUCAUUAACAAAACCCUUACUUUUUAUAUUUACUAAUCUAAUCAGAUCUUUUCUACCUAAAUUUAUGAGACAGGGAUAAUUUUAUGGUAUGUGUAAUAUCAUUUCUUCAUAAUAGCCUUCUCUUGAAGCAAUUACGAAUAAAUAUGUUUCAGAGCUGUCUUUUUGGAUAGAUUUGCUUUAAAAUCAAGCAUUUCCACUUUUCUGAAGACAUCCAUUGUGCAUUUGGAGUCAGAGACAGUGAACACUAGGUGGCAGUGUGCAAUGCUUAGUAGCCUUGAGUCUUGUUAACUGAUAUUUUCAUUAUUAAAGCUUUUCUUUUAAACAGAAUUUAUUUAUAUCACGAGCCAGUUAAUGGAAUUAAAAUCCACAGGCAACAAAAUCCUUAGCAGUAUAUUUAGAAGAUCUACUGUUUGUAAUACUUUAAAGAUUUGAUUGUAAUAUUUAACAUACUCUGCUUUUAUGUGGGGUCUGCUUAUAAGGAAUUAAUUGAAUUAAACAUGCCAGAAUUCUGCUUAUGACUGGGUAAGAGAAGGGGAAAGAGAAAUUUAAGAGAACAUGAAGGAAAAAAAACCCCAUAUGGCCGUUCUAAAACAGACAUUGCAUUAACCGUUUGCACUUUAAUCCUAAUCCUCUCCUUACACAGGCUGAACAAAUUCUUUUUUUCCAGGAGUUGAAGACUAUAUUGUUAAUUAUUCUCUAUCUUGCUAAACUUGGGACAAUGCAAAAAAGAAAAAAAAAGUGCAGAUUUUCUCUCUGACACUUCAGCAGUUCCCUAAUGUCCUUUGUAGUAGUGAUGGCCUGGCUACCACAGUGACCAAAUUGGAUUUACCAUGUAGUACUAUAAUUUACUUUAUUGUGACAGCUGAAAUUUAUCUAAACCAUUUCUUCUUGGUUAAUCUGGAUGUCAGCAUCUCUUUCUUUGGCCGAAUGAUUAAGCUAUAGGUCAUGGAAGAAUUAAAAUUUAUUCCAUCAUCCAUGCACGAGAAUGGGACCUAUGUAUUGUGUAGCCACCUGAUUGCAACCCCCUCGACAUCAAUAUGGUAGGCGCUGUAACCAUGUUCACUGGAUGUGGCAGUGGUAGGAAUGUAAACCAAGGGAAAAUUAAUCAACAUAAAUGGGCAUAAUUAAGAAAUAUAUGUCUUUUUAAAAACGUUUUACUAUGUAAAAUUUUAAACCUAAUAAAAAAAACAAAACAAAUCUCAUCAGCCAGCUUCAUUGAUUGUCAAAUCAGAGCAUUCUUAUUUCAUCCACAACCCUACUCACUUUUGCCCCCACCCCGGAAAGGGAAAGGGGAGGAAUAAAUUAGGAAUUUGGGAUUAACAGAUAUACCCUACUAGAUAUAAAAUAGAUAACAAAGACCUACUGUAUGACACAGAACUAUAUUCAGUAUCUUGUAAUAACCUAUAAUGUAAAAGAAUAGGUAUAUAUUCUGUGUAUAAAGUGAUUCAGUCUAUGUAUAACUGAAUCACUUUGCUGAAGAUCUGAAACACUAAAUCAACUAUACUUCAAUUAAAAAUUUUAAAAAUAGUUACUAAAGUAAAAACAUUACAUGUCAUUUAAAAAUUAGAAAUCUUGGCGUUGGGUAAAGUAAACAGUUGAAUUCGUUUAUGGAAAAUAUGGCAGACUAUAUAAUUCAGGAAUAAACUUCAAUUUAGAUUCUAUGUCAUCUAUUUUUAAUCAGCCUAAGUGUGCAGUACUGUUCCUCGAACACAGUAGGUAGGUGGUACCUGCUCGAUAAACCAAUGACUGCAUUUGGCUUCUUAGAUUAAAACAAAUAUUCGACUGUCUGCAUACCUUAUCACUACAGUUCUCUUGUGUAAUGUGUUGCUUCUAAAGAGGCAGACACUGUAGAUACAGCACACCCUUGGCAUGUAAGAAUUUAGUUUGCAUGAGUCAAGAUCUUACUACCAGUCUUAAAUUAUUUAUACGUAGUAAUCUAUAGUUUUGCUGACAUAUGCAUUUGAAUCACACAGUUCUAGAAACUGGCCUUUGGGUGAGUUUCCAGUGGUCCAGUGGUCAUUCCUCUAGGUGACUUUAUGCUCCAGGUGACUUUACAUUUCACUGUCUAGAACUAAUUACCCCCGGGGAGUGUGUUUGAGAAUUUGGCAGUCUUAGAAAUUGUUCUUCCCUUUCCCUUUGAGAAUAUCAUGAAUCUUCUAAAAUAUACCAUUUAGAUUUUGUGUGGAGUUUAAAUUUGAAAUGAGUGGAAUUUUUUUCAGAUCUCAAAAAUGACAGGAACCAUUAUGUACAAAUCUUUGUGACAUUAUGUAUCUAAGAGAAAAUAUAAUUCCAUGGUAGAGAAAAUAAGUAAUUUGUACCUAAAGGGUAUGUGCCAUGCCAUGUUUUUCAUAUGUAUAAAUUAUAUAGGAAACAAAGCCUCUGUGUAAUUUUCUUAAUAGUAGACAUGUAAUUUUUUUGACUUUUUUUUUUUAAUUUACUAUAAUGUUUUCUUUCCUGGGCUGUGUUUUAGAGACUGCCUCCCAAUUUAUUCAUGCUAUUUGUAUUUACAUUUCCCAUUUUAUAUUUUGGGUGGGAGUGAAGAAUGGUACAGACUCAGAAUAGUGUAACGGGCUUCCAGUUGAUUUCUUUCUUUCUUUUUUUCUACUCAUUAUUUCCCCCAGAUGAUACAUGUGAUAGAUCUCCAUUAAAAAAAAUUGGUGUGGAGUUCCUGUGGUGGCUCAGUGGUAACAAACCAGACUAGUAUCCAUGAAGAUGCAGGUUUGAUCCCUGGCCUCGCUCAGUGGGUUAAGGAUCUGGUAUUGCUGUGAUCUGUGGUGUAGAUUGCAGAUGCGGCUCCAAUCUGGAGUGGCUGUGGCUGUGGCAUAGACACAGGUCCGAUUCAAACCCUAGCCUGGGAACUUACAUAUGUCAUGGGUGUGGCCCUAAAAAG